CUAAAGGCUUGGUCCUGACCUUAAUAUUAAUUAUAACUAUAAUUACACAUGCAAGUAUCCGCGCCCCCGUGAAAACGCCCUACUUUACCACUACAGUAAAAAAGGAGCUGAUAUCAGGCACUAAAAAGCCUAUAACAUCUAGCAAAGCCACACCCUCAAGGGAUCUUCAGCAGUGAUAGAUAUUGGGUAAUAAGCUAUAAAAGCUUGAACCAGUAAUAGUUAUUAAAACCGGUCAAUCUCGUGCCAGCCGCCGCGGUUAUACGAGAGGUCUAAAUUAAUAAUAACGGCUCAAAGGGUGGUUAAAGUAUAUUGACUAAUAAUAAGACUAAAAAUAAAUUUAGCUGUCGCACGCAAAAAUUCAACCUAAAUCCUUAAACGAAAGUUGCCUUAAAAUAAAAUUAACUUGAAGCCACGACAUCUGGGUUACAAACUAGGAUUAGAUACCCUACUAUGCCUAGACAUAAACUUUGAUAAUUUCGCCAGAGUACUACGAGCAACAGCUUAAAACUCAAAGGACUUGGCGGUGCCCCACACCCACCUAGAGGAGCCUGUUCUAUAAUCGAUAAUCCACGUUUUACCUCACCAUCUCUUGCCAAUCCCGCCUAUAUACCACCGUCGUCAGCCUACCCUUUAAGGGAAAAAUAGUAAGCAUAAUGAUACACGUCAAAACGUCAGGUCAAGGUGUAGCACAUGAGAUGGAAAGAAAUGGGCUACAUUUUCUUCUUAAGAAAACACGAAAGAUUCUUUGAAAACAGACUCUAAAGGUGGAUUUAGCAGUAAAGAAAAACCAUAAUGUUUUCUUUAAUUAGGCCCUGGGGCGCGCACACACCGCCCGUCACCCUCAUCAAACACAAUUAAAAAUUUUCCUAAAAAAAUCAUAUAAUAAAGAAGAGGAAAGUCGUAACAUGGUAAGUCUACCGGAAGGUGGACUUGGAA
rnacentral:ncRNA from 1 species